rnacentral:rRNA from 1 species
AUUGAACGCUGGCGGCAGGCCUAACACAUGCAAGUCGAGCGAGCGGCGGACGGGUGAGUAAUGUAUGGGGAUCUGCCUGAUGGCGGGGGAUAACUACUGGAAACGGUAGCUAAUACCGCAUACCAUCAGAUGAACCCAUAUGGGAUUAGCUUGUAGGUGAGGUAACGGCUCACCUAGGCGACGAUCCCUAGCUGGUCUGAGAGGGUGAUCAGCCAAACGGGAACUGAGAAACGGCCCAAACGCGUACGGGAGGCAGCAGUGGGGAAUGUUGCACGAUGGGCGCAAGCCUGUUACAGCCAUGCCGCGUGUAUGAAGAAGGCCGUCGGGUUGUAAAGUACUUUCAGUCGGAAGACGUUACCGACAGAAGACGCACCGGCUAACUCCGUGCCAGCCGCGCGGUAAUUC